rfam:Schistosoma mansoni, Puerto Rico, WGS project CABG01000000 data, contig: 0229
AUCCAGCUGACGAGUCCCAAAUAGGAUGAAAAGCGUGUCAAGCUGGAU